rnacentral:rRNA from 1 species
CACGUAGGGGGCGAGCGUUGUCCGGAUUUAUUGGGCGUAAAGAGCUCGUAGGCGGUUCGGCAAGUCGGGUGUGAAAUUUCGAGGCUCAACCUCGAAACGCCACUCGAUACUGCUGUGACUGGAGUCCGGUAGAGGAGUGCGGAAUUCCUGGUGUAGCGUUGAAAUGCGCAGAUAUCAGGAGGAACACCAACGGCGAAGGCAGCACUCUGGGCCGGUACUGACGCUGAGGAGCGAAGGUCAGGGGAGCAAACGGG